UACGGAGGAGGCAAGCGUUAUCCGGAAUUAUUGGGCGUAAAGAGCUCGUAGGCGGUUUGUCGCGUCUGCCGUGAAAGUCCGGGGCUCAACUCCGGGCCUGCAGUGGGUACGGGCAGACUAGAGUGCGGUAGGGGAGACUGGAAUUCCUGGUGUAGCGGUGAAAUGCGCAGAUAUCAGGAGGAACACCGGUGGCGAAGGCGGGUCUCUGGGCCGUAACUGACGCUGAGGAGCGAAAGCGUGGGGAGCGAACAGG
rnacentral:rRNA from 1 species